GCCGGCGUAGCCCAAAGGUAGAGGCACUCGACUUAAAAUCGAGAAAGUGAGAGUUCGAAUCUCUCCGUCGGCA
rnacentral:tRNA from 1 species